GACGAACGCUGGCGGCGUGCCUAAUACAUGCAAGUCGAACGGUCUUUUCUAUGGAAGCUUGCUUCCGCUGAGAAGAUAGUGGCGAACGGGUGAGUAACACGUGGGUAACCUGCCCAUAAGAGGGGGAUAACAUCCGGAAACGGGUGCUAAUACCGCAUAGUUUUCUUGAUCGCAUGAUUGAGAAAGGAAAGACGGCCUUUGUGCUGUCGCUUAUGGAUGGACUCGCGGCGUAUUAGUUAGUUGGUGAGGUAACGGCUCACCAAGACGAUGAUACGUAGCCGACCUGAGAGGGUGAUCGGCCACAUUGGGACUGAGACACGGCCCAAACUCCUACGGGAGGCAGCAGUAGGGAAUCUUCCGCAAUGGACGAAAGUCUGACGGAGCAACGCCGCGUGAGUGAAGAAGGUUUUCGGAUCGUAAAACUCUGUUGUCAGAGAAGAACAAGUCGGAGAGUAACUGCUCCGGCCUUGACGGUAUCUGACCAGAAAGCCACGGCUAACUACGUGCCAGCCGCCGCUGUAACAC
rnacentral:rRNA from 1 species